AUGACACUCAUAGCUGCCGUCAUCACAAAAGUUGCACAAUGGUUUGCCGCUGCACAUGAGUCUCUGACGCCACCCAUUGCUAUAUGUCCCGUCCAUCUACUCGUCGUGGCUCUUCUGAUCGCCACGGCUACCGCCUACCUUGCACUUGGUCCAAAAACCGUAUACCUUGUUGACUACGCUUGCUUCCGGCCAAGAUCCAACUUCAGAUACACAAAGGCAACCUUCCUCGAGCAUGCACAUCUCUCGCCUUUGCUUGAUGAUUCUAGCACCAACUUCAUAGCUACUAUUCUUGAGCGCUCAAACAUGAGCGAUCAAACAUACGUGCCCCCUGCGCUUGGCUAUAUUGAGCCAUACUGCGGGCUUGAUGAAGCACGUGCCGAAGCAGAGUUGAUUGUCUUCCCAGCGAUCAAUGACCUUUUGGCCAAGACAGGCAUCAACCGCGAUGCGAUUGGUGUUCUUAUCACCAACUGCAGUUUAUUUUGCUCGGUACCAUCCAUCAGUGAUAUGAUUGUGAACCGUUACAAAUUGCGAGGUGAUCUCCACAUUGUUGACCUCUCAGGGAUGGCAUGCUCUGCAUCAUUGACCGCGGUGGGGCUCGCGAGCAACAUGCUACAGGUCAUGCCUUGGGGUUCACACGUGUUGGUGGUGUCAACGGAGAUCAUAGGGCCAUCGUAUUAUGCAGGAAAUAAUCGUUCCAUGUUGUUGGCUAAUAUCUUGCUUCGUAUGAGCGGUGCUGCCAAGCUUUUGUCUACUUCUAGGUCUAAGGCUAGGUUUCAGCUUCGGCAUCUCACACGAACAAUCACAGCAUCAAACAAUAAUGCCUAUCGGUGUGUGUAUCAGGAAGAAGAUGAGAAAGGAAACAUUGGGAUUGCUCUCUCUAGAGACCUCAUGAAUGUCGCUGAAGAUGCACUCAAGGACAAUAUCAUGGCAACUGGGCCUCUCGUCUUACCGGCAUCACAGCUCCUCAAGUUUUUAUUUUUCUACAUGGCCAAAAAGAUGCUCUUCGGGUGGAAGGUUGGACCAUACAUCCCCAACUUUUCUCUUGCAUUUGAGCAUUUUUGCAUCCACGCUGGUGGACCAGCGGUUAUCACCUCAGUGCAACAUGGACUCAAUCUAUCAAACAAGCAUGUUGAACCAUCGCGGAUGACGUUUCAUCAAUUUGGAAACCAAAUGAGCGCAUCCGUGUGGUAUGAGUUGGCAUACAUCGAGGCUAAAGGCCAGAUGAAGAAAGGCAACAGGGUGUUGAUGAUUGGAUUUGGUGCAGGAUACAAGUGCAACACAGCUGGGUGGGUGUGUAUACAACCAUCUUUCGAUGUGGAUGGACCCUGGGCUAACUGCGUGGAUCGUUACUCAGCAAUGUCUCCAACAAAUGCUAAACAAACAUAA
rnacentral:rRNA from 1 species